rnacentral:rRNA from 1 species
GAUGAACGCUGGCGGCGUGCUUAACACAUGCAAGUCGAACGGGAUCCCAGGAGCUUGCUCCUGGGUGAGAGUGGCGAACGGGUGAGUAAUGCGUGACCGACCUGCCCCAUACACCGGAAUAGCUCCUGGAAACGGGUGGUAAUGCCGGAUGCUCCAGUUGGAUGCAUGUCCUUCUGGGAAAGAUUCAUCGGUAUGGGAUGGGGUCGCGUCCUAUCAGCUUGAUGGCGGGGUAACGGCCCACCAUGGCUUCGACGGGUAGCCGGCCUGAGAGGGCGACCGGCCACAUUGGGACUGAGAUACGGCCCAGACUCCUACGGGAGGCAGCAGUGGGGAAUAUUGCACAAUGGGCGCAAGCCUGAUGCAGCGACGCCGCGUGCGGGAUGACGGCCUUCGGGUUGUAAACCGCUUUUGACUGGGAGCAAGCCCUUCGGGGUGAGUGUACCUUUCGAAU